UUGACGGGACCGCACAAGCGGUGGAUGAUGUGGUUUAAUUCGAUGCAACGCGAAAACCUUACCACCUUUGACAUGUACGGAAGUUGCCAGAGAUGGCUUCGUGCUCGAAAGAGAGCCGUAACACAGGUGCUGCAUGGCUGUCGUCAGCUCGUGUCGUGAGAUGUUGGGUUAAGUCCCGCAACGAGCGCAACCCUUGUCAUUAGUUGCUACGAAAGGGCACUCUAAUGAGACUGCCGGUGACAAACCGGAGGAAGGUGGGGAUGACGUCAAGUCCUCAUGGCCCUUAUAGGUGGGGCUACACACGUCAUACAAUGGCUGGUACAAAGGGUUGCCAACCCGCGAGGGGGAGCCAAUCCCAUAAAGCCAGUCGUAGUCCGGAUCGCAGUCUGCAACUCGACUGCGUGAAGUCGGAAUCGCUAGUAAUCGUGGAUCAGCAUGUCACGGUGAAUACGUUCCCGGGUCUU
rnacentral:rRNA from 1 species